rnacentral:lncRNA from 1 species
GUUGGCAGGAUGGCAGCAGCAGACACACAGGGUGGUUAAGAACAACAAACACAGGCAAACCACUUCAAUAGAACAUGGCUGGCGGCCAUAUGGACAUAUUUGAAUCCAACAAUUAAUUCAGCAAAGAAAGCUGCUUGUGGCAAGUUUUGAAUGUGCCAUUCCAGGUAGUGCUUUGAUGAUAAAUGAGGAGAAGAUUGCAAAGAAAAUGACAGCAACAUUUAUAAAAGGAUUCCUCUUAGGACUCUAGAUGCACGGAGAGUGGCCAGAUUAAUACAGACUGGCAAAAGAAGAACUUGGCAAAGUGAUUUGAUCACACACUUCUCACCCUCACAUCUCCUGACAGUUCCCCUAAUCCCUGCCCCACUUCCCCGCCAUGGGCUUCCAUCAGGAAACUCCUUGAUAUCAUCUUCGAGAAGAAAACUGAGGCAUAGAACAUUUGGGAAUGAAUCUAAGACUACACAUCUAGAAUAGCAGAGUUACAGGAAUGCAGAUGUGAUUCCUAUGGAUGAGGGUAACCUAGAGGCUAGAAGAACAAUAGGACAGAAGAAGCCUGGGUCCCUGAACAACCUUGUGGAGCAUAGACACCUACGUGGCCUGGACUGCCAGCUCACAAUGGGCCUCUCUGUGAGAGAAGGAAACUUCCCUCUUGUUUAAGCAACUGUGCUUUUGAGAAUCUCUUGGUCUAUACCCUAAUGAAUAAGGCCAUCAUAAAUGGAUAUCAAAGUAAGGAAAUUUGUGUAAAUGAUUUAAUAAAACAUUACCUCAGGUAUGAAAUAAUUCUACCUUGUGCCUUGACAACAUCAGGUAUUAUUCAUGCCCUUUUCUCUCCCUGUAAUGUCUCUUAUCCACGGGUAGAAAUUAUAUUUUCCAUCUAAGGUUUGCUCAAAUAUUAUCUACUUAAGUAGCUCUUACCAAUUUUGCCUCUCCUCCUGAGCUGACCCUAUGCCUUCUAUGCUGUUCCAGGUAAUA